rnacentral:rRNA from 1 species
GAUGAACGCUGGCGGCGUGCCUAAUACAUGCAAGUAGAACGCUGAAGGAAGGAGCUUGCUCUUUCCGGAUGAGUUGCGAACGGGUGAGUAACGCGUAGGUAACCUGCCUGGUAGCGGGGGAUAACUAUUGGAAACGAUAGCUAAUACCGCAUAACAGUAGAUGUUGCAUGAUAUCUACUUAAAAGGUGCAAUUGCACCACUACCAGAUGGACCUGCGUUGUAUUAGCUAGUUGGUGAGGUAACGGCUCACCAGGGCGACGAUACAUAGCCGACCUGAGAGGGUGAUCGGCCACACUGGGACUGAGACACGGCCCAGACUCCUACGGGAGGCAGCAGUAGGGAAUCUUCGGCAAUGGACGGAAGUCUGACCGAGCAACGCCGCGUGAGUGAAGAAGGUUUUCGGAUCGUAAAGCUCUGUUGUUAGAGAAGAACGAGUGUGAGAGUGGAAAGUUCACACUGUGACGGUAUCAUACCAGAAAGGGACGGCUAACUACGU